AUCAAAAGCUUUAAGGAAAGCUCUUUGUUUUUUGAAAGGGUGCUUUUAUGAUAUAGAGCUUUUUUAGAUAAUGCUUUUUUAGAUAAUGCUGGGGAAGGUUUUCCGGUUUAUCUCGGAGGGCUUGUAGAUCAGUUGGUUAGAGCGCGCGCUUGAUAAGCGUGAGGUCGGAGGUUCAAGUCCUCCCAGGCCCACCAAUUUACCUAUCCAUUUGCCUUUAUCCGUUUAUUUGCCGAUUUAUCGGUCCAUUGAAUUUAAGUGUUGGUAGCAGUUUUUAUAAUGAUGAGAAAUCAUGCUUUAUAAAAGGCUUGUUUUUAAAAUGUGACGCUGAUCCAUAUCGCUUAGGCAAGAGAAACUUCAGCGGUUCAAAUGCAAAAGGCUUUAAAUUUUGCAAAAUACUUUGAAUUUUGCAAAACAAUUUAAAUUUUAAAGUGAUCCAAGUUCGUGAUCUCGAAUUUAAAAGUUUCGAAUGCUUUAUCCUUUUUUGGGGGCCGUAGCUCAG
rnacentral:misc_RNA from 1 species